UAGUUCAGUGGUAGAACUCUUGACCGGUAAGCAGAAGCUCCGGGUUCGAUUCCCGG
rnacentral:tRNA from 1 species